rnacentral:rRNA from 1 species
GAUGAACGCUGGCGGUAUGCUUAACACAUGCAAGUCGAACGGACUCUUCGGAGUUAGUGGCGGACGGGGGAGUAACGCGUGGGAAUCUGGCUUUGGGUUCGGGACAACCACUGUAAACGGUGGCUAAUACCGGAGGUGCCGAGAGGGAAAAGAGAAAUUGCCUGAAGAUGAGCGCGCGUCUGAUUAGCUAGUUGGUGAGGUAAAGGCACACCAAUGCAGCGAUCAGUAGCGGGUCUGAGAGGAUGACCAGACACACGGGGACUGAGACACGGCAGAGACUGAUGCGGGAGGCAGCAGUGGGGAAUUUUCCGCAAGGGGCGAAAGCCUGACGGAGCAAUACCGCGUGAGGGAAGAAGGCUCUUGGGUUGUAAACCUCUUUUCUUAGGGAAGAACAAAAUGACGGUACCUAAGGAAUCAGCACCGGCUAACUCCGUG